AACGCGAAGAACCUUACCUGGGUUUGACAUGUACGGAAAUCCGGCAGAGACGUCGGGUCCGCAAGGGUCGUACACAGGUGGUGCAUGGUUGUCGUCAGCUCGUGUCGUGAGAUGUUGGGUUAAGUCCCGCAACGAGCGCAACCCUCGUCCUAUGUUGCCAGCGAGUCAUGUCGGGGACUCAUAGGAGACUGCCGGGGUCAACUCGGAGGAAGGUGGGGAUGACGUCAAAUCAUCAUGCCCCUUAAGUCCAGGGCUGCACACAUGCUACAAUGGCCGGUACAAAGGGCUGCGAUACCGCAAGGUGGAGCGAAUCCCAAAAAGCCGGUCUCAGUUCGGAUUGGGGUCUGCAACUCGACCCCAUGAAGUCGGAGUCGCUAGUAAUCGCAGAUCAGCAACGCUGCGGUGAAUACGUUCCCGGGCCUUGUACACACCGAUAGC
rnacentral:rRNA from 1 species